CUCAAGCUGAAGAUAAAUCUUCUUUUAACUGAGCUCCUGAAUUCUCUAAACUAUACAGACUCUUCCUAUACCUAGGGCUUUAGUCCAUACUAUUUGCAUACAGAUGAACUGGAGAUUUUCUGUGACCAGUUUUGAUCAAGAAUGUUAUAUUCCUGAUCAAUUCCUCAUUCAUUUAGGCCAAUUACUCCAAGAAAAUAGAGCAUUCUGCAUUUCAGAAAGAAGGUCCAGGACUGAUAACUUCAGGGACACCAGGCCUAGUUGCUGAGUUGCCUGAUGCUAGCUGUGGUCAUUUUGAAACUUUGCAGGAGAAAAAAAAAACAUGCAAGACCUUCAUAAGGAUAUACAACCUUUCCCUAUUCCUGAGAGAUGGUGGCACAGUUAUUGAGGUGCUAGCCUGUUAUGUUUCACUUUUGCCUGGCAAAAAUAAUAAAG
rnacentral:lncRNA from 1 species